rnacentral:rRNA from 1 species
AUUGAACGCUGGCGGCAGGCCUAACACAUGCAAGUCGAGCGGAUGAGUGGAGCUUGCUCCAUGAUUCAGCGGCGGACGGGUGAGUAAUGCCUAGGAAUCUGCCUGGUAGUGGGGGACAACGUUUCGAAAGGAACGCUAAUACCGCAUACGUCCUACGGGAGAAAGCAGGGGGACCUUCGGGCCUUGCGCUAUCAGAUGAGCCUAGGUCGGAUUAGCUAGUAGGUGAGGUAAUGGCUCACCUAGGCGACGAUCCGUAACUGGUCUGAGAGGAUGAUCAGUCACACUGGAACUGAGACACGGUCCAGACUCCUACGGGAGGCAGCAGUGGGGAAUAUUGGACAAUGGGCGAAGCCUGAUCCAGCAAUGCCGCGUGAGUGAUGAAGGCCUUAGGGUUGUAAAGCUCUUUUACCAGGGAUGAUAAUGACAGUACCUGGAGAAUAAGCUCCGGCUAACUCCGUGCCAGCAGCCGCGGUAA